UAUAUACUCCCUCCGUCCGAAAAUACUUGUCAUCAAAAUAGACAAAAAAGAUGUAUCUAGAACUAAAAUACAUCUAGAUACAUCCCCUUUUAUUCAUUUUGAUGACAAGUAUUUCCGGAUGGAGGGAGUAUAUA
rnacentral:pre_miRNA from 1 species